rnacentral:rRNA from 1 species
GAUGAACGCUGGCGGCGUGCCUAAUACAUGCAAGUCGAGCGAACAGAUGAGGAGCUUGCUCCACUGACGUUAGCGGCGGACGGGUGAGUAACACGUGGGUAACCUACCUAUGAGACUGGGAUAACUUCGGGAAACCGGUGCUAAUACCGGAUAAAAACUUUAAACGCAUGUUUCAAUAGUGAAAGACGGAAUUGCAGUACCUUAUAGAUGGAUCCGCGCCGCAUUAGCUAGUUGGUAAGGUAACGGCUUACCAAGGCAACGAUCCGUAGCCGACCUGAGAGGGUGAUCGGCCACACUGGAACUGAGACACGGUCCAGACUCCUACGGGAGGCAGCAGUAGGGAAUCUUCCGCAAUGGGCGAAAGCCUGACGGAGCAACGCCGCGUGAGUGAUGAAGGUUUUCGGAUCGUAAAACUCUGUUAGUAGGGAAGAACAAAUGUGUAAGUAACUAUGCACGUCUUGACGGUACCUAAUCAGAAAGCCACGGCUAACUACCUG